rnacentral:rRNA from 1 species
UACGUAGGGUGCAAGCGUUAAUCGGAAUUACUGGGCGUAAAGCGUGCGCGGCGGUGAUGUAAGACGGUGUGAAUCCCGGGCUCACCUGGGAAUUGCAUCUGUGACUGCAUAGCUAGAGUACGGUAGAGGGGGAUGGAAUUCCGCGUGUAGCAGUGAAAUGCGUAGAUAUGCGGAGGAACACCGAUGGCGAAGGCAAUCCCCUGGACCUGUACUGACGCUCAUGCACGAA